CCUGGAAACAUGAUGACUGCAUAGUUCAGAUGAUUUUUCUGAUUACAAAUUGCUUUUUGUCUUUCGCUCCUAUCUGAUAUUAUUG